CUGUGCAAAGGUAGCAUAAUCAUUAGUCUUUUAAUUGGAGGCUGGUAUGAAUGGUUGGACGAAAUAUUGACUGUUUCAUUUAAAUUUAUAAUAUAAUUUUAUUUUUUAGUAAAAAAGCUAAAAUUUAAUUAAAAGACGAGAAGACCCUAUAAAUCUUUAUAUUUAUAUUAAUAUAAUUUUUUAGAUUAUUUUUAUUAUAGUAAUUAAUAGUAUUUUAUUGGGGUGAUAUUAAAAUUUAAAAAACUUUUAAUUUUAUAAAUCAUUAAUUAAUGAAUUAUUGAUCCGUUUUUGACGAUUAAAAAUUUAAGUUACUUUAGGGAUAACAGCGUAAUUUUUUUGGAGAGUUCAUAUCAAUAAAAAAGAUUGCGACCUCGAUGUUGGAUUAAGAAAUAUUUUUAGGUGUAGCUGCUUAAAGUUUAAGUCUGUUCGACUUUUGAAUUCUUACAUGAUCUGAGUUUAAACCGGUGUAAGCCAGGUUGGUUUCUAUCUUUAAUAAAUUAAAAUAUUUUAGUACGAAAGGACCUAAUAUUUAAUAUAUUAUAUUUUUUUAUGAAUAUUAAUAAUAU
rnacentral:rRNA from 1 species